AAGGGGCCUGGCUCGGAGGACGCUGGCGGCGUGCUUACACAUGCAAGUCGAACGGAAAGGCUUUCUUGCUUGCAAGAGAGUACUCGAGUGGCGAACGGGUGAGUAACACGUGGGUGAUCUGCCCCUAACUUCGGGAUAAGCUUGGGAAACUGGGUCUAAUACCGGAUAGGACCACAUUUUAGUGUGUGUGGUGGAAAGUUUUUUCGGUUAGGGAUGAGCCCGCGGCCUAUCAGCUUGUUGGUGGGGUAAUGGCCUACCAAGGCGUCGACGGGUAGCCGGCCUGAGAGGGUGGACGGCCACAUUGGGACUGAGAUACGGCCCAGACUCCUACGGGAGGCAGCAGUGGGGAAUAUUGCACAAUGGGCGCAAGCCUGAUGCAGCGACGCCGCGUGGGGGAUUGAAGGCCUUCGGGUUGUAAACCUCUUUCGCUAGGGACGAAGCUUAUUUUGUGACGGUACCUAGAUAAGAAGCACCGGCUAACUACGUGCCAGCAGCCGCGGUAAUACGUAGGGUGCGAGCGUUGUCCGGAUUUACUGGGCGUAAAGAGCUCGUAGGUGGUUUGUCGCGUCGUCUGUGAAAUUCCGGGGCUUAACUUCGGGCGUGCAGGCGAUACGGGCAUAACUUGAGUGCUGUAGGGGAGACUGGAAUUCCUGGUGUAGCGGUGGAAUGCGCAGAUAUCAGGAGGAACACCGAUGGCGAAGGCAGGUCUCUGGGCAGUAACUGACGCUGAGGAGCGAAAGCAUGGGGAGCGAACAGGAUUAGAUACCCUGGUAGUCCAUGCCGUAAACGGUGGGCGCUAGGUGUGAGCCUCUUCCACGGGGUUCGUGCCGUAGCUAACGCAUUAAGCGCCCCGCCUGGGGAGUACGGCCGCAAGGCUAAAACUCAAAGGAAUUGACGGGGGCCCGCACAAGCGGCGGAGCAUGUGGAUUAAUUCGAUGCAACGCGAAGAACCUUACCUGGGCUUGACAUGUACAGGAUCGGGCUAGAGAUAGUUUUCCUUUUUAGGUCUGUAUACAGGUGGUGCAUGGUUGUCGUCAGCUCGUGGUCGUGAG
rnacentral:rRNA from 1 species